rnacentral:rRNA from 1 species
AGUGAACGCUGGCGGUAGGCCUAACACAUGCAAGUCGAACGGCAGCACAGUAAGAGCUUGCUCUUACGGGUGGCGAGUGGCGGACGGGUGAGGAAUACAUCGGAAUCUACUUUUUCGUGGGGGAUAACGUAGGGAAACUUACGCUAAUACCGCAUACGACCUACGGGUGAAAGCAGGGGAUCUUCGGACCUUGCGCGAUUGAAUGAGCCAAUGUCGGAUUAGCUAGUUGGCGGGGUAAAGGCCCACCAAGGCGACGAUCCGUAGCUGGUCUGAGAGGAUGAUCAGCCACACUGGAACUGAGACACGGUCCAGACUCCUACGGGAGGCAGCAGUGGGAAAUAUUGGACAAUGGGCGCAAGCCUGAUCCAGCCAUACCGCGUGGGUGAAGAAGGCCUUCGGGUUGUAAAGCCCUUUUGUUGGGAAAGAAAAGCAGCAGGUUAAUACCCCGCUGUUCUGACGGUACCCAAAGAAUAAGCACCGGCUAACUUCGUG